UUUUGCAUGNCGGAUGUCGUUGGAUUUAAUUUUCUACUUACAGUUAGCUGCCAACGUAAUAAAAGAGAACGAAAUGUCCUUGCGUAUAUUACAGAACUCACUCCUCUCGUGAAAGUUAAAUCAAACGUAAUGGUUAACCCACGAAACAGGCAAAGCCUAUAUUGGCAAACACAUAAAAAACGUUUUACAAACGUUUUUAAUAAUACGAUAUACAAACGUUUUAAUAAAAACGAUUUACAAACGUUUUUAAUAAAGCGAUUUACAAACGUUUUAUACAAAGACCCCACAAACACAAGAUUUAUAAAAAAAAUGACAUCUAAUGUUCAACAGCAGCACAAAACUUUCGUGAUGUUAUAUUUAUAUUGGAUGGCGUCUCAGUAUUUUAGGCUCGUUGUCUAAUAGCGAUCGGCGGGAAUUACUUUAUUUCUUUUGUUUUAAAACUGCACGGACGAUUCUAUAGCUUGAAAUAUAGCUUAAAAGACACAAACAGUUUGCCAACAGUGCAUUUUGUUGUUGUUGUUGGUGGCUAAAAUAUUAUUGGUACUAUGACGCAAAUAUUUGGCAUACCCUGGCAUUUUAAAAGUUCUCCGCCUAUGACGACAAACGUUAU